rnacentral:rRNA from 1 species
AGUGAACGCUGGCGGUAGGCCUAACACAUGCAAGUCGAACGGCAGCACAGGAGAGCUUGCUCUCUGGGUGGCGAGUGGCGGACGGGUGAGGAAUACAUCGGAACCUACUCUGUCGUGGGGGAUAACGUAGGGAAACUUACGCUAAUACCGCAUACGACCUACGGGUGAAAGCAGGGGAUCUUCGGACCUUGCGCGAUUGAAUGAGCCGAUGUCGGAUUAGCUAGUUGGCGGGGUAAAGGCCCACCAAGGCGACGAUCCGUAGCUGGUCUGAGGGGAGGAUCAGCCACACUGGAACUGAGACACGGUCCAGACUCCUACGGGAGGCAGCAGUGGGGAACAUUGGACAAUGGGCGCAAGCCUGAUCCAGCCAUACCGCGUGGGUGAAGGAGGCCUUCGGGUUGUAAAGCCCUUUUGUUGGGAAAGAAAUCCAGCUGGCUAAUACCCGGUUGGGAUGACGGUACCCAAAGAAUAAGCACCGGCUAACUUCGUGCCAGCAGCCGCAGUAA